CACGUAGGGCGCAAGCGUUGUCCGGAAUUAUUGGGCGUAAAGAGCUCGUAGGCGGAUGUGUCAGUCAGGGGUGAAAUCCCGGGGCUCAACCUCGGAACUGCCUUUGAUACAGCACGUCUCGAGUCCGGAAGAGGUGGGUGGAAUUCCUAGUGUAGAGGUGAAAUUCGUAGAUAUUAGGAAGAACACCGGUGGCGAAGGCGGCCCACUGGUCCGGUACUGACGCUGAGGUGCGAAAGCGUGGGGAGCAAACAGG
rnacentral:rRNA from 1 species